rnacentral:rRNA from 1 species
UGCUGCAUGGCUGUCGUCAGCUCGUGCCGUGAGGUGUGGGUUAAGUCCCGCAACGAGCGCAACCCUAUUGCCAGUUGCUACCAGGUAAUGCUGGGCACUCUGGUGAGACUGCCCCGGUUAACGGGGAGGAAGGUGGGGACGACGUCAAGUCAUCAUGGCCCUUACGCCUAGGGCUACACACGUACUACAAUGGCGCAUACAAAGGGCAGCGAUACCGCGAGGUGGAGCCAAUCCCAAAAAGUGCGUCCCAGUCCGGAUUGCAGUCUGCAACUCGACUGCAUGAAGUUGGAAUCGCUAGUAAUUCGAGAUCAGCAUGCUCGGGUGAAUGCGUUCCCGGGCCUU